CUACGGGGCGCACCAGCUGAGGAACUUUUACAAUGCUCGAAAGAGUGAUCGAGUGAGCCAGAGUGUUUCUCUUAGAGAAACUUUUGUCUGCUGUAAAAAGGCAGACGAGUAAGGACUGGGCAAGACCGGUGCCAGCCGCCGCGGUAAUACCGGCGGUCCAAGUCGCAUCCACAUUUAUUGGGUCUAAAACAUUCGUAGCUUGUUUUGUAAGUUUCUUGUGAAAUUUCAUGUCUCAAAUAUGAAGCGUGCAAGAAAUACUACAUUACUAGAGACCGGAAGGCGUAAAGAGUACGAUUGAGGUAGCGGUAAAAUGUGUUAAUCUUGAUUGGACUAACAAUGGCGAAGGCACUUUACGGGUACGGAUCUGACAGUGAGGGAUGAAGGCUAGGGGCGCAAAAGGGAUUAGAUACCCGAGUAGUC
rnacentral:rRNA from 1 species